CCUACGGGAGGCAGCAGUGGGGAAUAUUGCACAAUGGGGGGAACCCUGAUGCAGCGACGCCGCGUGAGUGAAGAAGUAUUUCGGUAUGUAAAGCUCUAUCAGCCGGGAAGAAAAUGACGGUACCGGACUAAGAAGCCCCGGCUAACUACGUGCCAGCAGCCGCGGUAAUACGUAGGGGGCAAGCGUUAUCCGGAUUUACUGGGUGUAAGGGGAGCGCAGACGGCUGUGCAAGUCUGGAGUGAAAGGCGGGGGCCCAACCCCCGGACUGCACUGGAAACUGUAAAGCUGGAGUGCAGGAGAGGUAAGCGGAAUUCCUAGUGUAGCGGUGAAAUGCGUAGAUAUUAGGAGGAACACCAGUGGCGAAGGCGGCUUACUGGACUGCAACUGACGUUGAGGCUCGAAAGCGUGGGGAGCAAACAGGAUUAGAUACCCGGGUAGUC
rnacentral:rRNA from 1 species